rnacentral:rRNA from 1 species
AUUGAACGCUGGCGGCAGGCCUAACACAUGCAAGUCGGACGAGUGGCGGACGGGUGAGUAAUGCAUGGGGAUCUGCCUGAUGGAGGGGGAUAACUACUGGAAACGGUAGCUAAUACCGCAUACCAUCAGAUGAGCCCAAAUGGGAUUAGCUUGUAGGUGAGGUAACGGCUCACCUAGGAGACGCUCCCUAGAUGGUCUGAGAGGAUGAACAGCCACACGGGGACUGAGACACGGCCCAGACUUCUACGUGAGGCAGCAGUGGGGAAUAUUGCACAAUGGGCGCAAGCCUGAUGCAGCCAUGCCGCGUGUAUGAAGAAGGCCUUCGGGUUGUAAAGUACUUUCAGUCGGGAGGCGUUACCGACAGAAGAAGCACCGGCUAACUCCGUGCCAGCAGCCGCGGUAAUUC